UUGAAUGUCAAUGGUCCUAGAG
rnacentral:siRNA from 1 species